rnacentral:rRNA from 1 species
GAAUUUUGGGCAAUGGGCGAAAGCCUGAUCCAGCAAUGCCGCGUGCAGGAUGAAGGCCUUCGGGUUGUAAACUGCUUUUAUACGGAACGAAAAGCUUUGGGUUAAUACCCUGCAGUCAUGACGGUACCGUACGAAUAAGCACCCGCCAACUACCUGCCAGCAGCCGCGGUAAUACGUAGGGUGCAAGCGUUAAGCGGAAUUACUGGGCGUAAAGCGUGCGCAGGCGGUUUUGUAAGACAGAGGUGAAAUCCCCGGGCUCAACCUGGGAACUGCCUUUGUGACUACAAGGCUAGAGUACGGCAGAGGGGGGUGGAAUUCCGCGUGUAGCGGUGAAAUGCGUAGCUAUGCGGAGGAACACCGAUGGCGAAGGCAACCCCCUGGGCCUGUACUGACGCUCAUGCACGAAAGCGUGGGGAGCAAAC